rnacentral:rRNA from 1 species
CCUACGGGGGGCAGCAGUGGGGAAUAUUGCACAAUGGGGGAAACCCUGAUGCAGCGACGCCGCGUGAGUGAUGAAGUACUUCGGUAUGUAAAGCUCUAUCAGCAGGGAAGAAAAUGACGGUAGCUGAUCAAGAAGCCCCGGCUAAUUACGUGCCAGCAGCCGCCGUAUUACGGAGGGGGCAAGCGUUAUCCGGAUUUACUGGGUGUAAAGGGAGCGUAGACGGCAGCACAAGACUGGGGUGAAAUGCCGGGGCUUAACCCCGGAACUGCUUUGGAAACUGGGCAGCUAGAGUGCGGGAGAGGAAAGUGGAAUUCCUAGUGUAGCGGUGAAAUGCGUAGAUAUUAGGAGGAACACCAGUGGCGAAGGCGACUUACUGGACUGUAACUGACGUUGAGGAGCGAAAGCGUGGGGAGCAAACAGGAUUAGAUACCCGGGUAGUC